rfam:Pseudomonas chlororaphis subsp. aureofaciens 30-84 chromosome, whole genome shotgun sequence.
CCUGGGCGACAAACACGUCUGCCCUCUUCCCGGUCACGGCACCACUCUUAUUGCUUCCGCUUCUGGUGACAU